rnacentral:lncRNA from 1 species
CAUCGUUGACAAUCCAUAGUGUCUUUUUUUUUUUGGGAUAUUGUAGGUUGUUAUUAUAAAAAAUAUAAAAUAAAACAGUAGUAAAAAUCUCAAAUUGCUUUCUACCAUCGUUGACAAUCUAUGCAUCUUGUAGUUCUUUUUUCUUUUUCUUUUUUCUCUUUUUUUUUUGGGUGGUAGGCUUUAUAAUAAUAACAACAAUAACAAUAAAAAAAAUAAAAUCACAAGUUGCUUUCUACCAUCAACGAAGAUCCUAGUAUUAGACCAUUUCAAGUCAAGGUGGUUUUGGCAUGGUUAAAGCCUUGCUCAUAACAAGUUCGUGUUCGUGAUGUUGGUCUGAUGUGCGGGGUAAUUUGCACAUUCUAUGGGACAGAAGCAAGGCAUCGAGAUGUACCUUCACUAUUGUGGUAGUUGAAUGUUGACGAUUAAUGGUCAACGAUCGUCCUAAGUGACAUCUAAUCCUCAAUCUAUCGCUACCCACCACCACAACUCUAAGUAGCAACCCAAACAGGCCGCUCCCAAAACAGCCACUGCACCAUCGCAUCAUAGCCCAAACACCACCACACUACAAAAAUAUAACCACAAAUCAAAUUGAUUGACACCAACAAAUCUGAUCAAUGAACGAAUCGAAAAAACUCAGCAACAAAUCUGCCCACCAGUUUUAUUGAAGUAGAUGCCAUUGAUAUUGAUGGAGACAGCGACAAACAAAUUGGAAAAGCUCACCGGCAGAUAACUGGAAACACUAGAACCUUCCAAUUUGGUAGUCGCCUUUGAAUCCUCACUAUAUAAUUUUCACUCUUCAACUUCAACUUCAGCUCUCUCUCUCUUUUUCUAAAACUUUCAAACACAACAGAUAUAGAUGACGAUUCAACGCAUGAACUCUCCUGUAACUCCAACUCAUCACAAUUGCUACUCUCAUUUUACACUUUGCUCCUAUAAUAAGAUCUCUUAACUCUCCGAUAUUUAUCUCUAGCUUCAUUUUCAGAUUCUCACUUCCUUGGCAGAAGUUAUUGACGGAGCACUUCUAUGUGUGUGGAGGAAAUGGUGAUAAAUAGCCACAAAAAACAUACAAUUUUUCAAAAAGGCCGUUGACCACUGUUUAAAAAAAAAUCAAAAAUUUGUAAAAACCUUAAAAACAUUGAAAACCCAAAAUUGCCCCUGACAUUUCACUCUCACAAACUGACGUAUGGACUCUGGAGAAAGAAGGGGAAGAAAAAAUAAGGAAACUGACGAGUUUUUCUUGGAAAGAGACCGACG